UACGAAGGGGGCUAGCGUUGUUCGGAAUUACUGGGCGUAAAGCGCGCGCAGGCGGCUAUCCAAGUCAGUGGUGAAAGCCCGGAGCUCAACUCCGGAACUGCCAUUGAAACUGUUUAGCUUGAGUAUGAGAGAGGUGAGUGGAAUUCCCAGUGUAGAGGUGAAAUUCGUAGAUAUUGGGAAGAACACCGGUGGCGAAGGCGGCUCACUGGACCACAACUGACGCUGAGGCGCGAAAGCUAGGGGAGCAAACAGG
rnacentral:rRNA from 1 species